UACGUAGGGUGCAGGCGUUAAUCGGAAUUACUGGGCGUAAAGCGUGCGCAGGCGGUUCGCUAAGACCGAUGUGAAAUCCCCGGGCUUAACCUGGGAACUGCAUUGGUGACUGGCGGCUAGAGUAUGGCAGAGGGGGGUAGAAUUCCACGUGUAGCAGUGAAAUGCGUAGAGAUGUGGAGGAAUACCGAUGGCGAAGGCAGCCCCUGGGCCAAUACUGACGCUCAUGCACG
rnacentral:rRNA from 1 species